rnacentral:lncRNA from 10 species
GAAGUCCGGUGUCCGGCCAGAAACCAGGAAGAACAUUGAAAGUGUAGGAGCGGGCUUCCAAGUGCAGCUAUCACUCCUGUCUUUGCUGGACCUCAAAGAGCAUUCAAACAAUCCCACUGCCUGACUAGGUGGUUCCCUGCCACCUAUCAACAGCUUUUAUAAAGAUUUAGACAAAGAAGAACACAACAACAUGCUUAUGGUAUUCCUAUCAAAAGCUCAUGAUCUGAAACUAAUCAUAGGGAAACAGUAAGCAAACCCAAAACGAGAG